CAGCACAGCCACAGGCCCUCCCCUGUAACCUGGGGCGAGCCUCGCUCGUCCUCUGGCUAGCCCGGGUGUGAGAGCCAGCCGGGUGAGUGGCCCUGGGUCACGGCCUGACGGCCUGGGAGCUGACCUGUUGGGGGGGCCUCAGGGAUUCAGAUGACUCAGAGGAACCUCAGCUGCCUCGGGGCUGCGCGGAAGCUAGACACUGACCCUGUGUGCUCUCAGUGAAGGGCCCUGGCUGGAAGAUCCUGGCAACGGUCUAGGCUGGGAGACAAGAAAGUGGUUGCCUCACAGCCUAGGUUCCUGAGUGAGGACCAAACCAAGGAAAGUGAACACCUGGCGGAACCACGGUGAAUAGGAAUGAUACACACCUCCACCUCUGCCCCAGCCAGUGUCAUGGUAAAGAGACAGACUGCCUGUAUCUGGAUCCAGGCUCUGCUGAUUGUCAGCUGUGUGAUCUAGACUCAUCACUUCACCUCCCCGGGGAUGUUUCCUCAUCUAUAACAUAGAGAUGGCAACAGAACUCUUCUAUUUGCAUAACUGUUGUGAGGAUUCAAAAUGAUAAUAUAUGUAAAACACAAAGAACAAUGCCUGGUACAUAAGAAGUUAUUUAUAAGCAUCAAGCUAUCAGUAUGUUCCCUCUUCAUUGGAAUCCUGCCUUGGCCUUGCUUCUGGCUUGUGCAUGAAGGGCCUGGGGACCCUCCCCCUUAUUCCUGAAGGUUCUUUUGAAUACUAGGUGGGAAGACUGGACAGCAAGUACAAGAGUUUGCCAAGGCUCUCAUAACAAAGUACCAUAAACAGAUGGCUUAAAGCAACAGAAAUUUAUUCUCACACACUGCUGGAGACUAGAUAUUUAAAAUCAAGGUGUCCACAGGGCCAUGCUCCUUCUGAGACUCUGGGUAGAAUCCCUACCUCUUCCUGGCUUCUGAUGGUGGCCAUCGGACCUUGACCUUUCUUCGAGAGCAGGAGCAUCACACUAAUCUCUGUCUCUGUUAUGUCACAUGGCAUUCUCUGUGAGUUGUAUCUUCACAGGGUGUUCUCCACGUGUCUGUCUCUUCUUUUUUUAUAGAGGACACCAGUCCUAUUGGAUUAGC